GACGAACGCUGGCGGCGUGCUUAACACAUGCAAGUCGAACGGAAAGGGCCAGCAUUUGGGGGGUGCUCGAGUGGCGAACGGGUGAGUAACACGUGAGUAACCUGCCCUUGAAUUUGGGAUAACUACAGGAAACUGGGGCUAAUACCGGAUAGGAGCUCCUGAUGAAUGGUGGGGGGUGGAAAGUUUCGGCGGGUGGGGAUGGACGCGCGGCUUAUCAGCGUGUUGGUGGGGGAGUGGCUUACCAAGGCUUUGACGGGUAGCCGGCCUGAGAGGGUGACCGGCCACAUUGGGACUGCGAUACGGCCCAGACUCCUACGGGAGGCAGCAGUGGGGAAUAUUGCACAAUGGGCGGAAGCCUGAUGCAGCAACGCCGCGUGCGGGAUGACGGCCUUCGGGUUGUAAACCGCUUUCGCCUGUGACGAAGCGUGAGUGACGGUAAUGGGUAAAGAAGCACCGGCUAACUACGUG
rnacentral:rRNA from 1 species